rnacentral:tRNA from 1 species
GUCCUCGUAGCUUACACUCAAAGCAUGAUACUGAAGAUGUCAAGACGGUUGCUAACACCUUCCCAAGGACA